rnacentral:lncRNA from 1 species
UCUAUAUGCCAACUUGAUCCAGACAAUUUCUCACUGAGAUUCUCUUCUCAGGGGAUUCUAGGUUGUAUCAAGUUGACAGUGUAUGAAAACAAGUAUGUAAAGUUUUUCAAGAAUAAACCAAAACUGAUCAACUGAUAAACCAUGGCUGAUCCCUGAGUCUACCACACUGGUCACCCCAUCCAGACCUGAAGGUGGUGAAGCAGGCCUCUCCAAGACAGUCAAACACAACCUGAAGUGGAAGGAGAAAAGGAGGCAGCAGCAGGAGAAAGACACGGAGGCCUUGAGCAGGACUCUUGAUAAGGUGUCUCUGGGAGACACAGCCCAGACGCCUAGUGCUUUCCACAGCCCCUAGGCCAUCCCUCUAGCUGCCUCUGAUCCAUCUAUCUGACUCUGCUGCCACCACAGAGAAAGCCAAGAAGAUCAAGAAUUGAGGAAGAAGCUUCAGCAGGCGGAGGUGCUGCAGCAACGCAUCCAGGCCGGGGUAGGUCAGCCAGCCCAGCAGAGAACAGCUGGAGAAGCUGGCUCGAUGGAGGGUUCUGGAGGAGGAAUUGGAGAACUUGGAGUUGGACCUGUGA